rnacentral:tmRNA from 1 species
GGGGGCGACUGGAUUCGACUGAACUGACGAAACCGUGGUCGCGUGCCGAGGUUGUCCGGAGGCCUCGUAAAAAACCGGGCAAACAAUACGUGCCAAAAACAUGGUAAAUGGGUUCGCCCCGGUUGUGCCGAUUCGGCCGAUCGCGGCCCCCAUGGCACUGGCCGCGUAAAUUACGCGCCCGUCCGUUGAUCGACGCCUACUAGGUUAAACGGACGACAGCAGUAGGCUGGCCGUGGUUUGGUUCCUCUAGGGACCGCGGCGAGGAGACCAACUAGGGGGUAGCCGGCGGCGUGAUCCCGUCCGCGGGAGCCGCGGCUGGCGACGUUUCGAAAACGCGGACUACGCACGUAGUGGACGCGGUGGAGUUAUUUCAGGACGGGGGUUCAAUUCCCCCCGCCUCCACCA